GUGGGGAAUAUUGGGCAAUGGGGGAAACCCUGACCCAGCAACGCCGCGUGAAGGAAGAAGGCUUUCGGGUUGUAAACUUCUUUUACCAGGGAAAAACACAAUGAUGGUACCUGGAGAAAAAGCUACGGCUAACUACGUGCCAGCAGCCGCGGUAAUACGUAGGUGGCAAGCGUUGUCCGGAAUUACUGGGUGUAAAGGGCGUGUAGGCGGAACUACAAGUCAGGGGUGAAAACUAUGGGCUUAACCCAUAGCCUGCCUUUGAAACUGUAGUCCUUGAGUGCUGGAGAGGCAAUUGGAAUUCCUAGUGUAGCGGUGAAAUGCGUAGAUAUUAGGAGGAACACCAGUGGCGAAGGCGAAUUGCUGGACAGUAACUGACGCUGAGGCGCGAAAGCGUGGGGAGCAAACAGGAUUAGAAACCCCGGUAGUCC
rnacentral:rRNA from 1 species